rnacentral:misc_RNA from 1 species
AUUGCCUUUUAUUCAUAUUGUUUUCCUGCUGGUGGUGAAAAUAUAUAAGAACUAGCUAGGGAGAGGAAGAGAAUUUAUUACAUUGUAUUUCUAUCCUAAGAACCAAUCAUGGUUUUGAAAUGUCUGAGCAUGAUGAUUAUAAUUGCAUCUUUGCUUGAUUUGAUUGCAGUGGUGAUGAUUCUGUUCUAACAAGAGUCUCUUACCUUCUCCUCAUCGUGUGAAUCGGCUAUACAACUUCAUUAGCACGUACCAAACAGCAAAAAGAGAAGUAAUUAUGAGGAACCACCAACUCCAUGAUAUCCAUACUCGAUUGCUUUGAGUCGAGACAAGUUGCUUCUUCUCCGUUUCUUCUUGUCUUGGUGUUGUCUGAGGUUCAGAAAUUUCCAUCGGGGCAGUGGGUUGUGAUUUUUUAGGUUUACUUGGAGCACUAGGAGCUUGUUCUUGGGGUUUACUAGUUGCAGCCGAUGAUGGUAAGGAAGGUAGUUUUCGGGGUUCAACACUUGGGACAGGAAAGUUCUUCACCAAAUUCGUGAAUUGAAGAUUGUAAAACGUUUCAAUGUAUCUUUGCUUGGCAAACUUCUGUUCCUUGUUUAGCUUCCUCCAAAACCCAUAAAUGGAUCCCAUGUUCAACACUUUAUUUGCAUAAAUCUUCCACGUAUAGCAUUCGUAUAUACGUUGCAGGCCUGCUGUUGACAUCUUGUUCCAAUAUUCAGGAUCUGUCUUGCAUUUCUCAAAGAAAUCAGCAAUCUUGUUGCUCGAUUCAUCUCCAUUGUUGGGAUCAAUGUGGAAUCCUGAGACACCAUCAACAAUAAUUUCUGCUGGACCUCCUUGAUUAGUUGCAAAUGUGGGUAAACCGCAGUUCAUUGCCUCGAUGACUGUUAGACCAAAAGCCUCAUACAAUGCAGGCUGCACAAAAGCUCCUUUU